ACUAGUGCACAUGUAUCAAGGUCAAGGCCCAGGGGCCAGAUCCGGCCCUCUGGGUAAUUAUAUAUGGCCCACCAGAUCAUUAUAUUUUAUUGUCAAUAACCUGAUGUUAUGGUGCGCUGGUAACAUAUUGAAGUAACACUACAUUUAUGGAGGCUGAGAGUGUAUUUAUAAUUAUGUAUGACUUUCUUUACAGAACACACAGUUUUACAUCACAAGAGUGUCAUCAUCCUAUGGGGUCAAACCAGGAUCAACUUAAAGUUGACUUCAGAGGGUUGUGCUUCUGAAACAGGGACCUCCAAACCACUAGAAGGUGCAGAGACCCCGAGGAGACUGUGAGGAUUGUGGACUUUGGUUUGGUUUUUGUCAUUUAUGUUAUGGGUUUUGGUCAUGUUCUGUUUUGAGUUGUCCUUCAGUCGCACCAGUUUCAAGUUUGUCAAGAUUCACAGCUGUUUUCAUUUCAGUGAUUUAGUCUAUUUAAGUGUCUGGUUUUCAGUUCUUCUUUGUUAGGUCAUCUCUUCCCUUCACUUUUCUUUCUUUUAUGCUUCUCCAUGAUUUUUGUCAUGUGUCUGUAAAUGUAUUAAAUAUUCUGUUUCUGUCACCAAAGCCCAGUCUCCUGUAUUUGGGUCCUACACCACGUAUUCUUGACAGAAACAUGACAAAUGUAACAAUGAAUGUAGAUGACAAAUAAAACCUAAAAAGUCUCUUUA